UUCAACUUUCAUAUUUUCAUCCAAAAAGUGCAAGUCUUAUUAUCGUGGUCGUCGGAGGUUGUGGGUUAGGAGCGGAGUUCGUGGGCUAGGAGCGCGCCAAGUAAGAAUCUACUCGGCACCCAAGUAAUGUGCUGGCGCUGACACAAAUGCGUUUCCUACAAAGUUGGUCGGAAAUGUUGUAGGAAUAGUCAGCUUUUUACCUACAAACCUCUUCGUCGGAAAUGUCAUAGGAAAUGCUACAUUUCCUACGAAAAUAGGCACUAUUCCCACGAAAUUUUUUGUAGGAAAAGGAUUUGAAAAGGGCUGAUACUAUUGGUAGUUCAAGCAUUUGUGGAGGGCCCUUAAAUAUUUGUUAGCAGGGGGUAUUUCUUGUAAAAUGUGUGAUAUUUGUGUAGUUGUCAUGAUGUAUUAGGUCAUCUUUGUAUGAGCUUGUAUUAUUUGUAUCCGGCUUUCAAGCACAUGAUUUGGUGGAAGCCCUACAACCUUUCAGAGCAGGGGUGAGUUUGUCAUAGACAUUCGGCACAUACGCAUUGCGAUCAUUGCAGUGUAAAAUAAUUUUACAUUUACACACCAUAUAUUU